UGGAGUUGAGGCAAAUGCCCCAGGAGUUGUCAGUAGGGUCCAGGGUUGGUGAAUGCCUAGGCCUGAAGCACUUGAGUUGCUAUCUUUUGAGCAAACAAAAUUUUCUAAUCUGAAAGGCAAGUUCUUGCAAGAAGGUAUGGCUCUGGGAGGCUGGGAGAGGCUGGCGGUUAAUUCCGGUUGAUGUGGUCUAGUGAGCCGGGAUGCUGCCCUGGGUCUAGUCCCUCCUCCAGCUCUGGACAGUCACACAUGCCCACUGCAGGCUGGUCCAUCUGCAAAGGUGGGUGCAUCUCAGAGCCUCUCAAAGGUGGCAGAAGGCAGUACCUACUUCCAAUUUUUUGGUUUGUUCUGAGGCUCUCAGUUCACCAAAAAAAUUUUUUAAUUUCACAAGAAGGUUACAAACAUUGUGUUAUUUAAAACUACUAACCUUUAUUAAGAUGGUACUUUUUCAACAAAAAUUGCAAGGCAGUUCUAGUCGCAAGAUAAUGACAAAAUUUCUAAGAAAUACUGAUUAAUUCUGUGUUCCAGGCAGGGUGCAGCUAUGAUGAGACAGAUGUUCCCUAUCUCUGAGCAUAGUCACAUUUGGAGACACAUAAAAUGUUUGCCUUGAGGCUUCUGUGAGAGCGAGGCCUAGUCCCCCUCCCAUCCGCAGCCCCUCUUUCCAACCCCUACCCCCAGGCCCUUCAAGUCCCCUCUCCCAGGCUGGGAAAUGAGGGCCUAGGAGUGGAGCGUGGGGGAGGGAGCAAGUCACACAGAUCCCCUGGGCUCCCGGGCCAAGUGCUGAUGAGACUGGGGGCCCGAAGGCAGUUACCCAUGGCACGUCCUUGGGGGCGGAGCCAGCUCUGACGCCUGUUCUCUGGGAAGGAUGCCUGCUGUGCUGCGGCAUGAUAGUGCUGAUGGCCUCAGGUCAUCAAGCACCUGCUGAGCUGGACAUCCCCCCUCUCUGCACACAGGACUGUGAAACCCCCUCUCCCCAAACUGUGCUCACGUUUGCAUAGGUAGUAGCAGAGCUCAGCUGUAAAUCGGGUUCUUCAAGGCCUGAGUUGAGGAUGCCUCUGGCAGGAGGUUUUAGUUUUUUCUUUGUGUCCCCAGGGCAUAGCAUGUCAAAGGGAGAUCAGGAAAUCUUUGUUGAAUGAAUAAUAGCAGCCAAUAUUUACUGAGUGUCAGGAACUGUGGUAACCGGGAAUCUGUCAUUGAUGUCAUUGACUGGUCCCCCAGCUCUGGGCAGUAGGUACUUUUAUUUGCUGUUUGCAGAUGGGGAAGCUAGGGCGCAGACAGGGAAAGAAACUUUCCCCAUGUCACGUGACUCACAAGUGGAGCUCUGGACGGUGGAUUGGAGGCACACUAGACCAGUGCUGUCCAAUAGAAAAAAUCAUGUGAGCCUCCUGUGAAAUUUACAAUUUCUGGUCAUCACGUUAAAAAAAAGUAAAAGAGAAACAGCUGAAAUUACUUUGGUGAUGUAUUUUAUUUAAUCCAAUAUAUGCAAAAUGUUAUCAUCUUAACAUGUAAUCAAUAUGAAAAUUAUUAGUAAAGUAUUUUAUAUUCUUUUUUUCACGCUAAGUGUUGAGAAUCAAUUUCAACUAGCCAUAUUUCAAGUGCUCAGUAGCUACUGUGUCCAGUGGUGUUUGUGUUGGGCUGUGCAACACUGGACCACUCUGCGGUCAGUGAGUGGAUAUUGGGGGCUGUUGCCUUUCACAGCUGAGGGAAGCGUGAGGAAGUGGUAAAGGGGAAUAACAGGUAGAGAUGGAAUGGCAGGCCUGGGACCAUGUGUUGGAUCCCUGCAAACACUCUCUGGGUCUCUUCCCAGGUGUGAGUGCUGGGUGAAAGCUGCACCUCGGCAAAGGGUUGUCCCAUUAGGGGCUCCCCCGGAAAAUCGAGCACCCUGCCCACUCUCUAGGAGGGCCUAGGCAGGGCCGCGGAGCACAGACAUCCUGAGCUUCUAGCCCCGAGCUGGCUGCGGGGAAGCCUUGCUAGUCUGAGUGGGGAUCUGGCUCUGAGCCGUGUUGCUUUUGGCCAAAGGCAGUUGCAAAACUCCCGGAGCACAGAACAGGUACGAUGUGUUCUUCGGAAAAGGUUAUGAGGUUUCAGACAUAACAGAGGUUCUGAGUAUACAAAUAGAGGAUGUCUCAGGCCCGGUGUCAGGAGUGAAGUCAUCAGACCCACACGUCAUGGGGUCAGCAUGGGCUGACGCAGUUAGGGCACCUGAGGCUUGGAGGCAGCCGUAGCAGGCGAGACUAGGAAUUACAGACUGGGGACAUGGAGGGGGUGCAGUGAUGAACUAGUGUUUUCUCAAAUGGGCGCAAAUGGAAGGGGUUAAAAGUGUCCCUUAACAUGUCCUGGGGUGGUCUUAGGGCACAGUGGGAAGGGGGCAGGAUGAGAAGGAAGCCCUCUCAGGGUCCCACAGGCUUGAUUCCUGGCUUGGGGACAGAGGUCGGAGAAGGCUGUGGCCAGUCUCUGCCCACAAAGAUUUCAGAAACGGGGACAGUGUGGAAUCACACCUGGGGCCCGGACAACCCAGUGCACCCCUUCACCUUCCUUAAGCCAUGAGAUUGCAAGUACAGUUCUCUCACGAGUUCUGGGGCUUCCUCUUGACCUGCUUUUCAACUUGCUACAAUUUGAAGAGAAAAGGACAAGGAAAUGUCACUAGGAGACCCCGCAAGAAAAAAGUUCCUGUUCCUCCAGGGCUUGGAAUGCCUUCUCCACUUUGCCUUCUUGUAGAAAUUGUAUUCCUAACUUUGGUUUAGCUCAGAUAACAUUUCAUAUUUUAAAAUGUUUUAAAUUUUAUCUGGCAAAAUCCAUGGCCCCCUCUCUGUA